GAUGCUGACUGUUUUUUGCUCACUAGCCUGUGAGUCCCUAAACCUGGGAAGAACGUUUUAAUCCAGCAUUACGAUGCCAGUUUCAUUGGCUCCGUUCCCUCUGGAGGGAAGCCAGAAUUGGUAAAGCACUGACUUUGCAAAUCCAGUGUAACAUCCUGAAAAUUGGAGCCACCAGGCCUCAACUCCCAGCAGCCCCAUGCCAGCUUUCCAUCCCCAUCUCUGGAGCCACCCCUCCCCAUCCCUGUGUUUAGCCUCCAUCGAAGGCCCCUCACGCACACGGGAUGGGAGUAGCCGCCAUGGAAAUCAAAGCCAGUGAUGGCCUGGACACAGUCGAUGUCCAGCUUGCGGGCCACGCGGUGUAGAUUGGGCAGGUUCAGCUGGACACAGCCAAUAGGCAUCAUGCUGGGCAGGAAGAGAUGAACACCACAGACGGGGUAAAUGAUUUGCCUAAAGUCACACAGCUCGUAAGGGCCAGAGCCCACACUUUCAUCCACUAGCCUAUAUUCUGUGCUGUCAUCACUGAUAGCAGUGACUGAGACUGAGAGACAAAGUCACUUAAGAGCUGAUGGCUGCUACUAAAAAAUUUAAAUGUGUGGCUCACGUUACAUUUCAACUGAACACUGCUAUGCUGGUUCCAGCACAAAAGACAGCCACGUGUCCCUGGAAUGCAGAGUGUGCACACAAUCCCUGUGGAACCAACACAGGACACAAAGGUUUUCUUCUCCUCUGCUGUCCAGAGCCUGUGAGAGCUCCAGCUGCAGACUAUCAGGAUGGGGUAAAGGCCGCUGUGCGCAGGCACACUCACGUUUACUACCACCACCAAGCGAACACCUGCUGAGGCUCUGAUCUGCUGUUAACACCAUGUGGGGGAGGGAAGUGUCCAGGAGGGGGCAGUGAACCCAAAGGAAGGCUG
rnacentral:lncRNA from 10 species